GGUUAAGCGACUAAGCGUACACGGUGGAUGCCCUGGCAGUCAGAGGCGAUGAAGGACGUGCUAAUCUGCGAAAAGCGUCGGUAAGGUGAUAUGAACCGUUAUAGCCGGCGAUGUCCGAAUGGGGAAACCCAGUGCAAUUCGUUGCACUAUCGUUAACUGAAUACAUAGGUUAACGAGGCGAACCGGGGGAACUGAAACAUCUAAGUACCCCGAGGAAAAGAAAUCAACCGAGAUUCCCCCAGUAGCGGCGAGCGAACGGGGAGCAGCCCGGAGUCUGAAUCAGCUUGUGUGUUAGUGGAAGCGUCUGGAAAGUCGCAGGGUACAGGGUGAUACUCCCGUACACUAAAACACACAGGUUGUGAACUCGAAGAGUAGGGCGGGACACGUGGUAUCCUGUCUGAAUAUGGGGGGACCAUCCUCCAAGGCUAAAUACUCCUGACUGACCGAUAGUGAACCAGUACCGUGAGGGAAAGGCGAAAAGAACCCCGGCGAGGGGAGUGAAAAAGAACCUGAAACCGUGUACGUACAAGCAGUAGGAGCCCACUAGUUGGGUGACUGCGUACCUUUUGUAUAAUGGGUCAGCGACUUAUAUUCUGUAGCAAGGUUAACCGUAUAGGGGAGCCGCAGGGAAACCGAGUCUUAACUGGGCGUUAAGUUGCAGGGUAUAGACCCGAAACCCGGUGAUCUAGCCAUGGGCAGGUUGAAGGUUGGGUAACACUAACUGGAGGACCGAACCGACUAAUGUUGAAAAAUUAGCGGAUGACUUGUGGCUGGGGGUGAAAGGCCAAUCAAACCGGGAGAUAGCUGGUUCUCCCCGAAAGCUAUUUAGGUAGCGCCUCGUGAACUCAUCUUCGGGGGUAGAGCACUGUUUCGGCUAGGGGGUCAUCCCGACUUACCAACCCGAUGCAAACUACGAAUACCGAAGAAUGUUAUCACGGGAGACACACGGCGGGUGCUAACGUCCGUCGUGAAGAGGGAAACAACCCAGACCGCCAGCUAAGGUCCCAAAGUCAUGGUUAAGUGGGAAACGAUGUGGGAAGGCCCAGACAGCCAGGAUGUUGGCUUAGAAGCAGCCAUCAUUUAAAGAAAGCGUAAUAGCUCACUGGUCGAGUCGGCCUGCGCGGAAGAUGUAACGGGGCUAAACCAUGCACCGAAGCUGCGGCAGCGACGCUUAUGCGUUGUUGGGUAGGGGAGCGUUCUGUAAGCCGUUGAAGGUGGCCUGUGAGGGUUGCUGGAGGUAUCAGAAGUGCGAAUGCUGACAUAAGUAACGAUAAUGCGGGUGAAAAACCCGCACGCCGGAAGACCAAGGGUUCCUGUCCAACGUUAAUCGGGGCAGGGUGAGUCGACCCCUAAGGCGAGGCCGAAAGGCGUAGUCGAUGGGAAACAGGUUAAUAUUCCUGUACUUGGUGUUACUGCGAAGGGGGGACGGAGAAGGCUAUGUUGGCCGGGCGACGGUUGUCCCGGUUUAAGCAUGUAGGCGGAUGUUCCAGGUAAAUCCGGAACGUUACUAACGCUGAGGUGUGAUGACGAGGCACUACGGUGCUGAAGUGACAAAUGCCCUGCUUCCAGGAAAAGCCUCUAAGCAUCAGGUAACAUCAAAUCGUACCCCAAACCGACACAGGUGGUCAGGUAGAGAAUACCAAGGCGCUUGAGAGAACUCGGGUGAAGGAACUAGGCAAAAUGGUGCCGUAACUUCGGGAGAAGGCACGCUGAUGGUAGGUGAAGUGACUUGCUCAUGGAGCUGAAAUCAGUCGAAGAUACCAGCUGGCUGCAACUGUUUAUUAAAAACACAGCACUGUGCAAACACGAAAGUGGACGUAUACGGUGUGACGCCUGCCCGGUGCCGGAAGGUUAAUUGAUGGGGUUAUCCUCGCGGAGAAGCUCUUGAUCGAAGCCCCGGUAAACGGCGGCCGUAACUAUAACGGUCCUAAGGUAGCGAAAUUCCUUGUCGGGUAAGUUCCGACCUGCACGAAUGGCGUAAUGAUGGCCAGGCUGUCUCCACCCGAGACUCAGUGAAAUUGAACUCGCUGUGAAGAUGCAGUGUACCCGCGGCAAGACGGAAAGACCCCGUGAACCUUUACUAUAGCUUGACACUGAACACUGGUCCUUGAUGUGUAGGAUAGGUGGGAGGCUUUGAAGUGUGGACGCCAGUCUGCAUGGAGCCAUCCUUGAAAUACCACCCUUUAAUGGCUGGUGUUCUAACGUGGGCCCGUGAUCCGGGUUGCGGACAGUGUCUGGUGGGUAGUUUGACUGGGGCGGUCUCCUCCUAAAGAGUAACGGAGGAGCACGAAGGUCAGCUAAUCCUGGUCGGACAUCAGGAGGUUAGUGCAAUGGCAUAAGCUGGCUUGACUGCGAGCGUGACGGCGCGAGCAGGUGCGAAAGCAGGUCAUAGUGAUCCGGUGGUUCUGAAUGGAAGGGCCAUCGCUCAACGGAUAAAAGGUACUCCGGGGAUAACAGGCUGAUACCGCCCAAGAGUUCAUAUCGACGGCGGUGUUUGGCACCUCGAUGUCGGCUCAUCACAUCCUGGGGCUGAAGUAGGUCCCAAGGGUAUGGCUGUUCGCCAUUUAAAGUGGUACGCGAGCUGGGUUUAGAACGUCGUGAGACAGUUCGGUCCCUAUCUGCCGUGGGCGCUGGAGAAUUGAGGGGGGCUGCUCCUAGUACGAGAGGACCGGAGUGGACGCAUCACUGGUGUUCGGGUUGUCAUGCCAAUGGCAUUGCCCGGUAGCUAAAUGCGGAAGAGAUAAGUGCUGAAAGCAUCUAAGCACGAAACUUGCCCCGAGAUGAGUUCUCCCUGACUCCUUGAGAGUCCUGAAGGAACGUUGAAGACGACGACGUUGAUAGGCCGGAUGUGUAAGCGCAGCGAUGCGUUGAGCUAACCGGUACUAAUGAACCGUGAGGCUUAACCUU
rnacentral:rRNA from 1 species